CCAGCGGAGGAAGCUUGAUUAUCAAGUUACUCAAGUAAACACUGAGUUUCUUCUUUAGGUUAAAGCACGGAGAAUAGAAACGUGGACUUAGACGGGCGCGGUGGCUCACGCCUGUAAUCCCACCACUUUGGAGGCAUAGGCCAGCACAUCAGGAGUUCGAGAUCAGCCUUAACAUGGUGAAACCCCGUCUCUACUAAAAAUACAAAAAUUACCCCGGGCAUGCUGGUGCGUGCCUGUAAUCCCAGCUACUCAGGAGGGUGAGACACGAGAAUCACUCGAAUGCGGGAGGCAGAGGUUGCAGUGAGCUGAGAUUGCACCAUUGCACUCCAGCCUGGGCGACAAGAGCAAGACUCCGUCUGAAAAAAAGAAACAGGAAAAAAAGGCCGAGCGCGGUGCCUCAUGCCUGUAAUCCCAGCAUUUUGGGAGGCCCUGGUGGGCAGAUCACAAGGUCAGGAGUUCGAGACCAGCCUGACCAACAAAGAUGAAACCCCAUCUCUACUAAAAAUACAAAAAUUAGCCAGGUGCAUAAUAUCAGCUACUCGGGAGGCUGAGGCAGAAGAAUCGCUUGAUCCCGGGAGGCGGAGGUUGCAGUGAGCCGAGAUCGCACCACUGCACUCCAGCCUGGGCGACAGAGCAAGACUCCAUCUCAAAAAGAAAAACAAAGAAAAGAAAUAUGGAUGUGAUUUGUUGGUCACUGAGAAGUGACCUCAGCCGUCCAGAAAACAAGUUACCAGCCAACAAGCUUUUUUGGCCUACAAACAAUUGCACUUAGUUGGUCCUUGAGGGCAGGGGACUGUCAACUUGGCAAACUCUAGAGUUUAUGAUGGGACCCUGAGCCAUGCAACAGAGGGAUAAGGCAGCUUCUCGUCUCAGGAACUUACCUGACAUGGACCAUGCACAGCCCUCUACAUUAGCCUCAUCUGAAUAUCUGUCCUCCUAACCCAGCAGUCAUACAUUUGCAGCUCCAGGAUGUGCCCUUCUCUCAAAAUUCUGUGUCUUAGCUGUGCCCUGUGACUACACACCUUUCUUUUUUCUGGCCAGCACCUCCUGAGGUAACCAGCCAGCUCUGUGGAUGAUAAGCUGUCUGAGUUCAGAGCCCAGCUUGUAGGUUACCUUAAGCCACUGGUGGACUAUACACUGUAUGUGUGAUUUAUUUACUCUACCCACUAGGUUUUAGGGCAAGUAUGCUUUUAAAAACACAUCAUUUCGUGGUUGGCAUACUACCCAGCACAUAAUUUAGAUAAGUACUUAUCUUUACAAAACUAGUGAAAUGCAGCAGGUACUAUGUUCAAUACUAUCACAUAACGUUGACUCACUUCAGCUCUAUAACAAUCGUAUGGCAGGGCGAGGUGACUCACGCCUGUAAUCCCAACAUUUUGGGAGGCUGAGGCAGGCAGGUCACCCAAGGUCAAGAGUUUGAGAUCAGCCUGGCCAACAUAAUGAAAUCAUGUCUCUACUAAAAAUGCAAAAUUUAGCUGGAUUACAGGGAGGUGGCUCACCCCUGUAAUCCCAGCUACUUGAGAGGCUGAGGUGGGAGAACUGCUUGAACCUGUGAAGCAGAGACUGCAAUGAGCCAAGAUCAUGCCACUGCACUCCAGCCUGGACAACAAAGCAAGACCCCAUCUCAAAACAAACAAACAAAAACCAAUCACAUGAGGAAGUGUUACGUGCAAUAAGAGGCAACAUGGGUUUCAAGGGCUUCCCAAGAAUCAAGUUUUUAAUAUGCUCUCUAUAAUAUCCUACAACCUGUUAGUUGUAGGAUAUUAUAUUUUGAUAAUGGCAUGGCUCACCCAUUUACCUGUUGGAUUUAAGAGGCAGAAAUGUGUGGACCAUGAAGGUCUGACAAAUGGUCCAAAUAAUACCCAUUUGCUGUAUUCCACUAAUAGCUGUGUAUAAUUUACAUUUCCCUUGCUGAAAAUAUAUACAAACUAUCAAUUUGUGGGUGUGUUCUUGAGCUAUAUUGGCCCAGCCAUAAAUGGUAAUUGUUACAAUUUCAGCUAUUUUAGAUGACAUAAUUAAGGCUCACAGAGGAUAAGUACUAUGAAAUUACUAGCUAAUAACUGGAAGAACUAAAUUUCUAACCAAAUUCUGUGAGUCUUCCAGCCACCAAGGAAGGGGAGAAUAGAGCACCAUAGGAAAACGAAAUGGCAAAUGUAUUAUCCUGUUGUUGCUACGUUAUCUUUUAAUCUAACUGUAUAAUCUAACAGGCCAGCUAAAUAUCUUUUCCUAAAAACAUUAAUAAAAAUGCAUGGUAAAUACAUAUAUAAGACAUUGAACAGUUAGUAUCUCUUAAUAGAAGCAAACAAUUUUCAUGAGCAAAAUCAUAAAAUUCUUUAGCAGUAACCUCUUGGCUAAAAAAAAAUAAUAUUCUGCUGGAAUCUGGGUGCAAAAUUCUUACACUAAAAUUUACUUAGUAUUGAGUAGAAAUAUACUUCAGCAAAGUGAGUGAUAUACUGCUUUAAAUACUAACAUAUUAGAAGUUUUGACUAAAAUGUAAAUCGAAUAUAUUAUACAUUCAGCAUUCAAUUACAAGAUUAAAACAUCAUGACAAAGUAAGAUUUAUCCCAGGAAUGUAAAGAUGGCUAAACAUGAGGACAUCUUUUGAUGUAUUUUUCAAUAUUGUCAGACUAAAAAAUAUCCCAGUAGAUCCUGAAAAAAAUUAACAAAACAGUACAACCAUUCAUACAAAUUCUUAGAAGUAGAAAGAAAUAUCUUUAAUUUGAUAAAGAUUAAUGUCUUAGUCCCUUUUCUGCUGAUAUAACAGGAUAUCACAGACUGGGUUAUUUAUAAAGAAUAGAAGCUUAUUUGGCUCAGAGCCUGGGAAGUCCAAGAACAUGGCCCUGGCAUCUGUGACGGUCAUCUCAUAGCAGAAGGGCAGAAGGGUAAGGGAGCAUAUGAAAGAAAGAAUAAGGGGCUGAGCUCACUUUUAUAACAACCUGCUUUGAGAGAACAUCAAGGGGGAAGGUUAUACUGAGAGAAAUGAGGCAAGAGGGAGGUGACAGGCACAAAUUGGAGGAUUUAAUGUGAGGAGAUGAAAGCAGAUUUUCUGGUAAUGAGAGAAUAGGAGAGAAGAAAUGAGAAAGUAGUGAAAGAAGGAAAGUUAAGUUUCAGAAAUAAUGGCAAUAAUUUUUAGUAUAUUGGCAGUUUUGAAAAAUACUUACUUCAGGCUGGGGGUGAUGGCUCGUGCCUGUAAUCCCAGCAUUUUGGGAGGCCGAGGCAGGCAGAUCACCUGAGGUCAGAAGUUCAAGACCAGCCUGGCCAACAUGGUGAAACCCCAUCUCUAUUAAAAAUACAAAAAAUUAACCAGGCAUGGUGGCACAUGCCUGUAAUCCCAGCUACUCAGGAGGCUGAGGCAGGAGAAGUGCUUGAACCUGGGAGGGAGAGGUUGCAGUGAGCAGAGAUUGCACCAUUGCACUCCAUCCUGGGCAAUAAGAGCAAAACUGUCCCCCCCCCCAAAAAAAAGAAUAACUUCAAUAUGGGCAAAAAUUUGGAAAGAAAUGCUAUCGAUGAGGAUUGAAUUAAAUAUAUAUUCAGUGAAGAUUGAAUAAAAUAUAUGAAUACUAAUUGCAUUUAAAAAGACUGUUGUACAGGUUUUUUUUGUUUGUUUGUUUGUUUUGAGAUGGAGUCUCACUAAGACACCCAUGCUGAAGUGCAAUGGCAUGAUCUUGGUUCACUGCAACCUCUGCCUCCCGGGUUCAAGCAAUUCUUCUGCCUCAGCCUCCCGAAUAGCUGGGACUACCGUUGUGCACCACCACAUCUGGCUAAUUUUUGUAUUUUUAGUAGAGAUGGGGUUUCACCAUGUUGGCCAGGACAGUCUUGAACUCGUGACCUCAUGUGAGGUCAUCCACCCAUCUCAGCCUCCCAAAUGUGUACAGGUUUCUGAGUUAAGAUAGCAAAUUGAAAAUACGUAACUAAUUUCAAACUUCUAGUCCCAGUAAAAAUGCAAGUAAUUUUUCCCUUUAUUUUUUUAAACCUACAGAGAUAGAAAAAAACAGGAGAGGAGAGAGCAAGACUUUUGUCAGCUGGAAAGAGAUAGAAGGGAAGUAACAUUUCUAGCAAACAAGAGAAAUCCUAAUCUUAAACCAACAGCAGGAAAAACAUAGAACCAACCAGAUUUACACAGCACAAUACUCAAAAGAGACCACAGAAGGAACAAUAGGUACCUCUAGAAUGGCUAAAAUAAGGAGUAUUGGUAAAAACUGAGAAUCGGGAAGAUCUUUUAUCUUCCUCUACAACUGGAGAAUAUUUCCUCUAGAGAGGGAGAAAGAAACAAUCUGCAUUAGAAGUUGACUGGCCCAGCUGAGGGCAUGGAUACUGUUAUCAAAAAUAAUUGGUGUCUGAGGGUAAGUGACCAUACACAUACUGAGUAAUGAAUGCUGGCCCUCUAUAAAGGCUGGCAGCCACAAAACAGUCAACAAGAAAUCUAUUCUCUGGGGGAAUCUAACUAGCUCAAGAGGAAAACCUUCAGAGAUACCAACAUUGAAAGUCCCCUACAGAUAGCCCAAUAAGAUCAUUCUUCAGUGAUGCUCUAAGUUGACAAGCCCCAUAACUACACACAGAGCUUCCAAUCAGCUUUCAAAUCCCACUGCUAAUCAGGAGGAGACAUCUAAGGAGUAACAUAUUUGAGGACAACAUUUAACAUGGAAGAGAUACCAAAAUAGAAAAACAAUCUGGGGCUCGGUGGCUCACGCCUAUAAUCUCAGCACUUUGGGAGGCUGAGGCGGGUGGAUCACGAGGUCAAGAGAUGGAGACCAUCUUGGUCAACAAGGUGAAACCCCGUCUCUACUAAAAAUACAAAAUUAGCUGGGCAUGGUGGUGCGUGCCUGUAGUCCCAGCUACUCAGGAGGCUGAGGCAGGAGAAUUGCUUGAGCCCAGAAAGCGGAGGUUGCGGUGAGCAGAGAUCGUGCCAUUGCACUCCAGUCUGGGUAACAACAGCAAUACUCCAUCUCAAAAACAUAAAAAAAUAAUUAAAAAAUAAAAAAAAACAAUUUGGAAGAAACAAAAACCAGGAGGGGGAAAAUACUUAAAAAAUAAAUCAUCACUAAAAUUUUCAGAAAGAUAUAGAAAGACAUUGCAUCUAUGAAAUAAGAACAGGAAGCUGUUAAAAAACAGAAACAAUCUUCAACAUAUAAAUUGGAAAGGAGAACAAAAAAAAGAAAAAAGAAAAAAACAAUAGAAACUAUCAGAAAACAGAAAAAGAACUAGAAAGUAGAGCAAAAUGACAGAGAUGAAAAACAGGAGUAAAAAUCAAAUGCAGGUCAUCCAAUAUUCAAAUAAUGAAAAAAUUCCAGAAAGAGAAGACAGAGAAUACAGAAGGGAAGAUAUAAUGAGUGAAAUAACUCAAGAAAAUUUCUACAAUGGAAUGUCAUGUUUCCUGAUUGAAAGUCCCCACACAGGAUGAAAAUACACACACACUGUUACAAAAUUUUUUUUUUCAAGACGGACUCUCUGUCACACAGGCUGGAUUGCAGUGGUGCAAUCUUGGCUCACUGCCAUCUCCAUCUCCUGGGUUCAUGCGAUUCUUAUUCUUCAGCCUCCCAAGUAGCUGGGAUUACAGGCACACACCACCAUGCCUGGCUCAUUGUUUUAUUUUUAUUUUUAGUAAAGACUGGGUUUCACCAUAUUGGCCAGACUGGUCUUGAACUCCUGACCUCAAAUGAUCCUCUUGCCUUGGCCUCCCAAAGUGCUAGGAUUACAGGCAUGAGCCACCACACUUGGCCACUAUUACAAAUUUUUAUGAGAUUUCAGAACACUGGAGAUAAGAGAAGAUCCUUUAGUCUCCAAGGAGAGGAGGAAAACAGAUCGCAAAAGAUUAGACCAAUCAGCAGGCUUUGCAAUUCUUGGCAGCAACACUAGAAGCUAGAAGAUAAUGAAGCAAUGUUUUCAAAAUUCCAAGAGAAAACUUUUCCAAUCUAUACACAAAUUAUCUAUAAAAAUUAGGGUAAAAGAAAGUCUCAAAAACAGGCUAGGCAUAGUGGCUUAUGCUUAUAACCCCAGCACUUUAAGAGGCUGAGGCGGGUGGAUCACCUGAGGUCAGGAGUUCAAGAUCAGCCUGGCCAACAUGUUAAAACCCCGAAAUCUCUACUAAAAAUUAAAAUAUUAGCUGGGCAUGAUGGCUCAUGCCUGUAAUCACAGCUACUCAGGAGGUUGAUGCAGAAGAAUCGCUUGAACCUGGGAGGCAGAGGCUGCAGUAAGCUGAGAUACCACUGCACUCCAGUCUAGGCAACAGAGCAAGACUUUUCAAAAAAAAAAAAAUAGACUUUUGCUGUAUUUGUUUUUAAAAACUUACUCUGUAUAUUCAGCAAAAUGAGGGAAUAAAUCAAGAAAGAGGAAACUGUGGGGUAUAGAAAGCAAAGAAUACAACCCAGGAGAGAAGCAAAGGAAAUCUUUAGGAUUACCACUGUGCAAUGAGUUUAAAAAGGUAACCAGUACAUACUACAGCAACAUGACUCAAGAAGCAGGCAUUUUGUGGUCUGUCUUCACAGUGUUUUCUGCUGUGUCUUCCUUUUAAAGUAAAGGAACUACUGGAAACUAUACUUCACCAACACAAGAAAAUAAAUCAAGAAAGAGGAGGGCCUGAGUCUCAGGAUACAGGGAAUACAUGCCAGGAGAAUGGUAAAGACAAUUCCAAAUUGGAAAGCAAGAGAAGUCCAAGGGUAACACUACAGCAAGCCCAGAGAGCACAGACCCAGAGAGAAGUCCCCAGGAGGGAGGGCUUGAAGGAAAACAGUUGAAGUGGCUAGAUUACCCAGUGUGGGUGGGCUAUGGGAAAAUGUACUGAGACACAAUGGGAAGACAUGGGAAAAAUAAGCAAUAAUACAAGAAGCACCAACCACAUGGAAAAAAUCAAGGCAUGUUUUACCUGAGGGAAAAACAGCAAGGUAAUAGAAAACAAGGAGAGCCUGAGAAACUGUCACAACCAAGAGGAGCAGAAAGAGUCAUGACAACUCAGCAUAUCCUGGAUGUGGUAUCCUGGAAAUGGUCCCGGAACAGACAAAACACAUUAAGCAAAAACAAAGGAAAUCUGAGUAAACAACAGACUUUAGCUAAUAAAAAUGUCUCAGUAUUUAUUUAUUUGUAGUAACAGAUGUGCUAUACUAACUGUUGAUAGAAGAAACAGUCCAGGGUAAGAGAAUUCUGUAUGUACAACCUUGACAUUUUUCUGUAAAACUGCUAAAAAAUAAAGUUUAUUUUUUUAAAAAAGGAAGAAAAUCACAAUUAAAUACACUUCAGCUUUGAGCUUUGAAUAAUAGUUGUAUAGGUACAAUAAUGCAAAUACUGAUUUAACAAAAAGAUUGCAAUGUAACUACAUUGGAAGGGUGGGGAAGAAAUGUGUAAAGCAGAGAGAUGGCAGAGUGAGAGAACCAAACUCUUAUUUACCAUAAAAAAGAUAAGUAGAUAAUGCCUAAAAUUGAUAAUUGAUAGCAGAAUGUGGCUAUUAUUUAAAAAUGUGAAGGUAUAUUAUAGCAGGAGAAACAGCUAAGACUAGAAAGAGGUUGUCUCUGAGUAAAAGGAUUAAGAAAACAGGACAUGUGGGACAGAGAACCAUUGUUUUUUAUUUGGCCUUUUCUUUUUUUUCCUUUCUUUCCAGACAGGGUCUCACUUUGUCAUCCAGGGUGGAGUGCAGUAGCAUGAACAUGGCUCACCGCAGCUCAACCUCCUGGGCGCAAGCAAUCGUCCCAACCUCAACCUACCUAAUAGUUGGGAUUACAGGUGUGAGCCACUAUGCCCAGCUAAUUUUUUUUUUUUUUUUUGUAGAGACAGGGUUUUGCCAUGUUGCUCAGGGUAGUCUCAAAUUCUGAAGCUCAAGCCAUCAGCCCAAUUUGGCUUUUCAAAGUGCUGGGAUUACAGGCCUGAGCCACCUUGCCCAGCUAUUUAGCCUUUUCAAUGUUAGUUUUCAGAUUGUGUGCAUGUACUAAUUUGAUAAACAUCAACUUAAAAACAUCAAAAGGGUGAAAUAGAUUUUAAUGCAUUGACAAACAAAAAACUGCCAAGACAUUGGCAAACCAAAAAGCAAAUUCUAGGCUAGGCACAAUGGCUCAUACCUGUAAUCCUAGCACUUUGGGAAACCAAGGUAGACAGAUUGCCUGAGGUCAGGAGUUCGAGACCAGCCUGGCCAACGUGGUGAAACCCCAUCUCUACUAAACAUACAAAGAUUAGCUGGCUGUGGUGGCACAUGCCUGUAAUCCCAGCUACUCAGGAGGCUCAGGCGGAAUUGCUUGAACCCAGGAGAUGGAGGUUGUAGUGAGCCGAGAUCAUGCCACUGCACGACAGCCUGGGGGACAGAGUGAGACUCCGUCUCAAAAUAAAAAAUAAAUAUUUUAGGAGCCCUCAGGAACAAGAUGGCGGUUCUCUGGAGACUUAGUGCUCUUUGCCGUGCCCAAGGAAGCCGAGCUCUGUUGCUGCGAACUUCAGUGGUCAGACCUGCUCAUAUUUCAGCGUUUCUUCAGGACCAACCUACCCCAGAAUGGUGUGGAGUGCACCACAUUCACUUGUCACCGAGUCACCAUUCUGGUUCCAAGGCUGCAUCUCUCCACUGGACUAGUGAAAGGGUUGUCAGUGUUUUGCUCCUGGGUCUGCUUCCGGCUGCUUAUUUGAAUCCUUGCUCUGCGAUGGACUAUUCUCUGGCUGCAACUCUCACUCUUCAUGGUCACUGGGGCCUUGGACAAGUUGUUACUAUGUUCAUGGGGAUGCCUCGCAGAAAGCUGCCAAGGCAGGGCUUUUGGCACUUUCAGCUUUAACCUUUGCUGGGCUUUGCUAUUUCAACUAUCACGAUGUGGGCAUCUGCAAAGCUGUUGCCAUGCUAUGGAAGCUCUGACCUUUUUGACUUCAUACUUUGAAGAAUUGAUGUAUGCCUCUUUGCCUCUGCUUUGUCAUGUCAUUCAGCUCACAGUAAGGAAGAAGUAACAGAUAAGUCUAUUGGUGGACAGGCUUCUUCUCUUAAUCUUUGAGGAAAAGGUUUGAGAGGAAUUAUGUCUAAGAAAUUGUGAGACUGAGUUCUGUAUUCUGGUGAGUAAAUGGGGUUGCCUCCCAGCUUCUCAUAAGACUCACAGUAUAACUAAACAUGAUAUAUGAGCUUUUGCCUUUUAAUUUAUCAAUCUCUUAAAGAGAAUCCAGCUUUAUUACUAUUACUAUAUUAUCAAACUUAUUCUUUGCCUUGGAAAUAAUGGACAAAGGGAAAUACCGUUAAUUCAUGAAUAAAAACUUGGCAGAAAAUUAGACAGUGUUUAAUUUUUGAAAACUUCCCUCUCUAUUCAGUAGAUACCACCUACUGAUGGAUACAUAUACUAGGGAAAUUUUUAAAUUUGGACAUGCUGGUAUCUCACAUAUAAAUUUCUAAAUCCUAGGAAGAAAAGCUUGUAGUGCUUCUGAAUAUAGAGAAGUUCCAUAUAAGGGUAAAGUUCCCCUUCUAUACAUACCAAAAUAUUACAGAUCAUAAAUUGAGAGUUAAUUCUCAAAUGUGUUCUACUUGUUCUAAAAUCUGUCCACAAAUAUAAAACUCUAAGUAAUUAAUUGUUAUUUUCACACUAUGGGAACCUCUAAUGUGAAAAUGUAUUCUAUGAAAAUAAUUUUUUAAAAAAUAAAAUGUAUAAUAAAAAUGUUAAAAAAAAUAAAUAUUUUAAAAUUAAAUUCUAGGAAUGCCACAGAAAUAACCCAAAUGGCAUUACUAAGUACAGGUUGGUUGCCAUUUUGAAGUUUUUCUCUCUUCUAAAACGUGCCAAUAUACUAAAAAUUAAUGUUUUGAUUUCUGAAAUGAAGUCAAAGGAAUUCUGUCCAUUGAUUACUUUCUUAAUUCUUCUCUCUAUUCUCUGGUAGAAAAUCUGCUUUUACUUCAUCACCACAUCAAAAUCCUCCAAUGUAUGCUUGUCACCUCUCUCUUGCCUUCCUUUCUCUCAAUGCAACUUUCUCCCUAAAUGUUCUCUCAAACCCAUCAACAAUCCCCAAUACUGAAAAAAAUUGAUGUUUUAGGUCCUACUUUCUGAUGGCUGAAAAAAAUGGCUAUUUUCUUAAGCUGGCUUCACUGUAAACUCAUGAAUUUCAUUCCUUUGAAAAUUAGCACUCAAUAGUCCUUUUACUCAUCCUUUUUUUUUUUCCUAAUCAUGUGCUAUUCUUUUAUGGCAUCCAAUCUUCUUUGGCCUUCCUGCUGACAUUACUGCCUGAUGGCUUUCUUACUUUGCCAAAACAAAAAAUGUCCUGCUUGAACUCAUAUUUUUUUUUCAUCUCCAAAUAUACCCGUUCUUCCCUUUCCUUUUGUGCAGGGUAAGAAAUAUCCCUACUUCUUUCUGAGGGUCUUUCCAUCUACCUCACUUCUCCUUUCUUAGACAUUUGUUUUACCCAGGAUUUUGAAAUUAGCAUUCUGAUUGCAAAAUGGAUGGAUAAAUGAAAUAAAUGAAACUUGCCAUUUUAAUUACCAUUUCCCUGAAUUACCUCCUUUCUUACUUCCACUACAGUGGUAUAGGCCCUUAACCAUCACUUGGUUGGUUGGCUGCUGCUCCAUCAAAUGUUCUUAUAAUUUUUUCAUUCAUCAUCUUUCUUCCAUGAUUUACUAUUUGCCCUGGCUUAUAACAUAUUCAAGGUUCUUACAUGUGUGGGUAGAAAUGAACUUUUCUUCCCCUAAGUAAUAACCACAUUUGUAUUUCAUCCUUGGUCUUCAGGCUUCUUUAAAGGUUUCUCACAUUUACUGACAACAUUCAUUUAACUAUAGUAGAGUAUCUCUGUAGUGGGUGAAGUUCUAAACUUUUGUUGGCUGAAUACAAACUGAUUUUGACUGCUUGCUUUCUUCCCCUCCGCCUCUGAUGCUCAGCCCAGGGCUCCCAGUGUGGAUCUCCUAGGGCAUACUAUUUUGGAAAGGACUCUUUGGUAAGCCUAUUUAGACCCUUGUCAAGCAUAAACUCAUUGUUUUGAAGAAGGCCUAAAUACUGGUGAAAUAAUCAAAAUGAGGGCUUUGUUUAGACGGAGAUGUUAAGUGUUCAGUAAACAUUUGUUGCAUAUAUGAUAGCUAAUAUUUUAUUAAGCACUUGCUACUGCUAAGAAAUUCACAUUAUCUUAAUGUCCUUAAGAAGCAUCUGAAGGCACAUUUCCCAUUACACAGAUAAGGAAAGUAACUUUUAGAGAUAAAUAACUUGCUUAAAGUCAAUAUUGUAGGCUCUUGAGCCAGGAUUCAUACUGGUGGGCUGAAUGUGUAACUGCAUUCUUAAUCACUCAAUUACACUGUCUUGGCUGUAAAACACUAGUUUCUACAAUAAAUAACAUGGGCAUAGUCAUUCCUCAAGAGACAAACUAGUCAAGGCAGUAAUGCCAGGCAACUAUAAUGCAAAUAGGUCUCCAUAAAUGCAAUCUAAAAGGAACAAAGUGUUAUUGGAGUCCUACUGAGGGAUCAAGAGACAUUUCUUCUAGCUAGAGUACUUAAAAGGAUGUGGACUUCAAAUGUGGCUUUAAAGUUUAAGGAAUGGACAAGAUUUAAACAACUGCCAUUAAAAGGGAAAGGUAGACCAGACAAGGGAUGUCACUAACAAAAAUAUGAACCAGGAAGGAAUAGAGCAUGCUCAUGAGACAGGAGCCUAAUUUCAUUAAAGCAAAAGGUGGGUGAAGCUAAGGGAUAAGAAUCAAGACAGGAAAAAUAGUUUGAGACGAAAUUAUUCUGAAGCAAGCAUCUGGACUUCAUCUGCAGACUGUAAGGAGUCUAUAAAGAUUUCUGAGCAUAGUACCAUGACAGGAGUUUUUUAGGAAGAUCAGUUUGGGAACAGGUUGUAGCACUGGCGGAGUAGAGAGAGACUAACAGUUUUUUACAGGAGACUCAAGAUAGUUCCAGUAAAUGGUCACAAGAUCUUGACCCUAAGGAUAGAGACAACAGAAAUGAGAACGGCAGAGAUUUCCAAAGUAGAAUCAACUCAAGUUGGUCCUAGUAAAACUAUGACACCUAAGCAAUAUAGCUCUAAAAACAUAAGCAGUUGGCUCUAAGUCUCAGUUAUAGAAGGCUGGGACAUAUUUAAAACUAAAAUUUAGAAAUUAAGUUUGGUUUAAAAGCCUGUUGCAUUCACACACACAUUUCUACACACACAAAUAUACAAACAUGCUGUAUACACAUAUGUAGUGAGAUUUGAAAUGAAGAUCUAGAAAAUAAAAUGUAUGUUAAAAUCAAGGUAACUCGAGGCUGACUAUGGAAGCAAAAAGAAGGCAAUUUAGUUUUGUUAAAUUUUGUCUGACUUAGUUUUUAUUAAACAGUUACAUGUAUAAAUUUAAAAUAGAAAUUUUUUUCUCAAAGUACUCUCUUAAAACGGUUUAUCCCAUUAACUGGCCUUAAUAAGAAAAUAAUUUUCUGUGUAUUAACAAGUGGGCAUCUUCACCUUGAUUGGCUUCAAUUACAAAGUUUCCAUUUCACCCAGUUAAGAAAUAUUUAAAAUCAUUCAAUCGUUAGAGAAUUUUCUAAAAGUAAGUGACAAGAAAGGAAGAGCAUUUUAAAUUACUUCCUAUGCAUUAAAAAACUAGAUAGUAAACUACAACUUCCCUAUCUUCUACAAUCUUCUCAGCAUCUGAAACAACAGUUGGAAGAAAUAAGUUCUCUGCAUACCAAAAGAUUUCCUAGAAUUUUAAAUGUUAAUGAUUAAAACAGGAAUCUUGAAAUGCUUAUUAUACAUUUUCAAAGAAUUUUCACAUAUGGUUCACACAGAUUUAACAGGAAUAAUCAGUUCAAUCAUGAUUUAAGCCCUGAAUCUCCUAGUUUAGUUGUAAAAUUGAGAAGGUUGUUCUAGACAGGCUAUAAACUUCCUUCAAACAAUACAGUGGUACAAUUCAUUAAUUGUAGAUAUUGAACAUCCACUACUUGCAAAACAUUAUGCUACAAAGUCUUGCACCUAAAUUAUACCUGCCCUUGAGAGCGACAACUAGGAGUCCCUUUUAUUCAGCUUUGAUUUCUUCACUGGUUUCAGGAUGAUAAAUAAACUAGCUGUUGGACUUCCUCUCCAUUUUCAUUACCACAAUAAACUCAUUUCAUUUGUACAAGGAAAGUUGGAAAGCUUUAUUAUAACUGGAUAAUAAAGGAAAAAAGUACCAACAAUGAAAUAAAGGUAUUUUGAGAUUUAUACAUAUAAAACAAGUUGAGUAGUUGAAUAGGCAUUCUCUAAACCUAUGCUGUCCAUUAUAGCCACUAGUCAGCCACGUGAAAACUGAUCACUUAAAAUGCUGAAUGGAGAUGUAAUGAAAGUGUAAAAUAUACAUCAGAUAUCAAAAAAAAGAAUGUAAACUAUCCUGUAACUUCAAUAUAUUGGAUGUAUGUUAAAAUAUUUUGGAGCUACUGGAUUAUUAAAAAUAAUUUUUUUUACUUUUUAAAAUGUGGCUAUAGAAAUUUAAAAAUAUAUAUAUAUGGCUCACAUUAUAUUUCUAUUGUUCUAUACUUUUAAGUACCUUCUCCGCAGAUUACCAUGACCUCUCUUCAUGGCCCUGAUCACAAAUGCAGGAAAAUGAACUAUUACUCACAUUCAUCUUGUUGUACUUCUCUUUUAUUGCUAGUUCCAUGUCUGACCCAUGAUCUACUUUCAUUGUUACUUGAAACCAAAUCCUUCACCGUAAGAGUUUGGAAUGAUACUUAUUUUAUUCUGAUUUUACAUAAGGAAGUGGGUGUGUGUGUGUGGGGGGGUGAUUCUAUUGUCUCCUUUCCAAUACUUUGAAAUAGACUGUGUCAAUCACACAUAUAACUUACACGUUUCUUAACUAGUAAAUAUGAGAUGAAAAUGCUAAGUCCCUGAGCCAGUGACUUAGAAUUCCUUUUCACAGGCAUUAUUUUCCCACCUCACUACCAGUGACCUCCUUUCUUUAAAACAAAAUGACUGAUUGAUCUAUCUGCAGUCACUAUUUUAGAAUAUCUGCUAUUGCCCUAACUCUUUUUAACAUGACUGCCCAUGCAAGGAACCAUGACAAGAAGAUUCAAGUAACAUCCCUUAUUUAAGGCAGAAUAAGGUAAGUCUCUGUAAUUCCCUUAGACAUUAAAAUUAAAAGUGUUUGUAAAGAAAUGUAACUUUCCUUCUCUACUCAUCUGACUUCCUCCUUUCAAGAAAGCUGAUUAUGUUAAAAGGCUUACUUCACAGUUAAAGCUACUUACAAAACAAUUUAUAUGACAAAGAAUAAAUUUACUUCUGCACCAAUCUUAAUACAAUGAACUUGGAAAACUUUACUAGAUUUAGAUAACAAAGAAAAGAAGUUUAAGGAGUAGCAACAACGAAACAAAUGUAUUUUGAGACUAAUAUCUGUAUAAAACAAGCUGAAUACUUGAAAAUAGUUGAGUAGAAAAUACAAUCAAGGACAUCUGUGUUAGAGUAAUAUUUUUAAAUAGUUUGUCUUGUUUUACUUAAUGGAAGUUCUUUGAUCAGAAUUGUUUUCCAACUUAAUAUUUAUAUUGAAGUUUGAUAUUUUAAACAAAAUAUUUUAAAGUAGAAAGGCACUUCAGGAAUCAAGUUUUAUGUACUUGUUUUAUAGAUAAGAGACUUAAGUGAUACGCUCAAAGUCAUACGCCUACUAAGUGAAACAAGACUGAAAAAUGUAUGUUGAUCCUAAGUUCAUCUUGUUUCAAGAUAUUAUGCUGCCUUAGUCCUUUAACUUUUGCUCUCCUUAAAAAAAAAUUAAAUUCAGACCUAUCCAACAAAGAUAUUGUUAGCACUAUUAAUGUUCUUGUUUAUUUAUUUGGGAUGAAAGCAUUUUAGAUAUCUGAACAGGAGAAAAGAAGAUUGAUGGGUGGAGUGUUCAAAUAAUUAAAUCCUGUUUAAAUACUGGUAUCAGAGGUUCAUAUAAUACUUGAAAUUUCUAACACACUCAUCUUUUAGUAAACGUGGGCAAGGGAAAUGAAGACUGGAAUGUAGUAGAGUUUAAUCAAGGCUGAAAAUAUUUAUUAUUUUACUUGGAGACACUGAGUAUUCUACUGUGCCACAUUUGAAUGGAAGAUUUUAACAACCUGAAUAACUAUCCCAUGUGCAAACUAUACCUCUGUAAGCAGUAUAACUGUGGCUAUAACACUAGGACAUCAUUCUAGUGAAACUAUUCCUGGUAAGCCUAUCUGUUGCUCAAUAUUAAUGGGGCAACAAGGUAGCAUCUUAUAUAUAUUAUUAUAAAUUAUUCAUUUCUCAAAAGUAUUCCCAGUAGAAGCAACAAAAGAAGACUGUACUAUUUCUGCUUCAGUUUCUUCUUAAAAGGGCAAACUUUAUUCUUCCCUGUUCAACUCAUCAUGUCUUAAUUUUUUUUUUUUUUUUUUUUUAGAGAUGGGGUCUCACUAUGUUGCCCAGGCUGGCUGUAGAACAGUGGGUAUUCACAGGCAUAAUCAUAGUGCACUACAGCAUCAAACUCCUGGAA